rnacentral:lncRNA from 1 species
GAAACACAACAUGCUUUGACAGAAUUCAGAGGACUUUGGAGGACUUUGUCUGGAAACAAAAACUUGUGGAUUUGAAAUGUGUUACUGUAGUCCUCCUCUGACAUUACAACCUGAAUGCCUGUUGGCCCUGCUCUGCAAGGCUGAGGCUGCCUUCCACCUUUGACAUUUUGCCAUGAUCUUCCUCCUUGAAGGGAGUGCUGUAAAUGGGGAAUCCCUCAAAAUGAUCUGUCCUCAGAAUUCUCAUUUAAAUGUACUAGGUACUAAUUACUUUAACUUCAAGGAAAAGAGAAGAUUACCUCCUGUAAACUUUCUCAUACAAAAUAAUCUGUCCUCCUGUGAUGCUGGUUACUUGAAAAUGUCUGUUUGCUUGAGAAAAGGUUUGUCAAAUCAGAAUAAAAUUACUCCUGCACUUCCUCAGCUCUCUCUGUCCCAUCAUAUCUGAAUGCAGCAUUUUGCAAAAAAAAUCCCAAGUGAAGUUGCAACACGUGGAUCUCACAAGAGGAUGCUCUGGAAGGUGCCACACUGUUUUACAGAGCCUUGUGGUGAUGUGAAGCUGUUUGUAGACACGGGCUGGGUGCUAGAGGUGCUUGGGGUGCACUUCUCCCCCAGCUCGACUCGUUGGUUAGAAAAGAAAAGCAUUGUGGUUGUACUUGAAGGAAGAAUUCAGGAGAGGAUUCAGGGAUCUCCUGCCAGGCCUGCAGUGUGUGCUAGAAGUGCUUUGAGAGGACUGAUCCAUAGCCUGGGCUUGGCUUACAGGUUCUACAGUGACACAAAUGGCACAUGA